rnacentral:rRNA from 1 species
CUACGGGAGGCUCCAGUGAGGAAUAUUGCACAAUGGGGGGAACCCUGAUGCAGCAACGCCGCGUGGAGGAUGACGCAUUUCGGUGUGUAAACUCCUUUUAUAUGUCAAGAAAAUGACGGUAGCAUAUGAAUAAGCACCGGCUAACUCCGUGCCAGCAGCCGCGGUAAUACGGAGGGUGCAAGCGUUACUCGGAAUCACUGGGCGUAAAGGACGCGUAGGCGGGUUGGAAAGUCAGGUGUGAAAUCCUACAGCUUAACUGUAGAACUGCACUUGAAACUUCUAAUCCAGAGUAUGGGAGAGGGAGAUGGAAUUAGUGGUGUAGGGGUAAAAUCCGUAGAUAUCACUAGGAAUACCUAAAGCGAAGGCGAUCUCCUGGAACAUUACUGACGCUAAGGCGUGAAAGCGUGGGGAGCAAACAGGAUUAGAUACCCGAGUAGUC